UGGGGAAUAUUGCGCAAUGGGGGGAACCCUGACGCAGCCAUGCCGCGUGAAUGAAGAAGGCCUUCGGGUUGUAAAGUUCUUUCGGUAUUGAGGAAGGUUGAUGUGUUAAUAGCACAUCAAAUUGACGUUAAAUACAGAAGAAGCACCGGCUAACUCCGUGCCAGCAGCCGCGGUAAUACGGAGGGUGCGAGCGUUAAUCGGAAUAACUGGGCGUAAAGGGCACGCAGGCGGUUAUUUAAGUGAGGUGUGAAAGCCCUGGGCUUAACCUAGGAAUUGCAUUUCAGACUGGGUAACUAGAGUACUUUAGGGAGGGGUAGAAUUCCACGUGUAGCGGUGAAAUGCGUAGAGAUGUGGAGGAAUACCGAAGGCGAAGGCAGCCCCUUGGGAAUGUACUGACGCUCAUGUGCGAAAGCGUGGGGAGCAAACAGGAUUAGAUACCCUGGUAGUCCACGCUGUAAACGCUGUCGAUUUGGGGGUUGGGGUUUAACUCGGGCGCCCGUAGCUAACGUGAUAAAUCGACCGCCUGGGGAGUACGGCCGCAAGGUUA
rnacentral:rRNA from 1 species